rnacentral:lncRNA from 1 species
AAUCUGUGAUAUUUCCUAAAAACUUGCAAUUAUUAUAAAAUCAUUUUAAAACCCUGUGUUACUUAAGUCAAAUGGAAUAUGUGAUGAUAGAGUAUAAGUUUCUUAUUCUUGAUAUCAUUGUUGCUUGGAGAAUUUAUUUCAAAAUAUUCAAAUUCCUAGCUACCAUCCUCAGUGUUUUAUAUGCCUGAUAAAACUAAAAUAUUAAUUAUGAUUAUAAAAGCUAUCUGCUCUGUAUUGAGUUUGUUCAAAAUGAGUUAGACCCUUGUUGAGAGAUUUAUCAUGCUCCCA